GAUGAACGCUAGCGGCAGGCCUAACACAUGCAAGUCGAGGGGUAGAGGCUUUCGGGCCUUGAGACCGGCGCACGGGUGCGUAACGCGUAUGCAAUCUGCCUUACACUAAGGGAUAGCCCAGAGAAAUUUGGAUUAAUACCUUAUAGUAUAUUUUUGUGGCAUCACAGGAUUAUUAAAGCUUUAUUGGUGUAAGAUGAGCAUGCGUCCCAUUUGCUAGUUGGUAUGGUAACGGCAUACCAAGGCAAUGAUGGGUAGGGGUCCUGAGAGGGAGAUCCCCCACACUGGUACUGAGACACGGACCAGACUCCUACGGGAGGCAGCAGUGAGGAAUAUUGGACAAUGGGCGCAAGCCUGAUCCAGCCAUGCCGCGUGCAGGAUGAAGCAUCUAUGGUGUGUAAACUGCUUUUAUACAGGAAGAAACCCCUUUACGUGUAGAGGAUUGACGGUACUGUAGGAAUAAGGAUCGGCUAACUCCGUGCCAGCCGCCGCAGUAACAC
rnacentral:rRNA from 1 species